rnacentral:rRNA from 1 species
UACGGAGGGGGCUAGCGUUGUUCGGAUUUACUGGGCGUAAAGGGCGCGUAGGCGGCCACCGCAAGUCGACUGUGAAAUCUCUGGGCUUAACCCAGAACGGUCAGCCGAUACUGCGGGGCUAGAGUGCAGAAGGGGCAACUGGAAUUCUCGGUGUAGCGGUGAAAUGCGUAGAUAUCGAGAGGAACACCUGCGGCGAAGGCGGGUUGCUGGGCUGACACUGACGCUGAGGCGCGAAAGCUAGGGGAGCGAACGGG